rnacentral:rRNA from 1 species
AUGAUGCUCAAUCCGGAAAAGUGCGUCUUUGGUGUUCCGGCAGGCAAACUCUUGGGUUUUUUGGUGUCAAAUAGAGGCAUUGAGGCUAAUCCGGAAAAAAUUUCAGCAAUUACAUCUUUGGCUAAACCGACGUGUAUCAAUGACGUUCAACAUUUGGCCGACCGGACUACGGCUUUGAGCCGGUUUAUCAGUCGUCUUGGGGAGAAGGCUAUCCCUUUAUAUCAGAUGCUCAAGAAAAUAGAUGAUUUUGUCUGGAGCGAGGCGGCUGAUAAAGCAUUUGAGGAUCUGAAGAGGCAGUUAGCUGAACCGCCUGUGCUUGCAGCCCCGAUCGAUAAAGAGCCGUUGUUGCUAUAUGUGGCUGCUAAUGCCCGAGCUGUUAGCGUGGCUAUUGUGGUGGAACACAAGGAAGCUGGCAAGGAAUAUUCAGUUCAAUAG